rnacentral:rRNA from 1 species
GACGAACGCUGGCGGCGUGCUUAACACAUGCAAGUCGAACGGAAAGGGCCUGCUUUUGUGGGGUGCUCGAGUCGCGAACGGGUGAGUAACAUGGGAGUAACCUUCCCUGUACUUGGGGAUAACUUCAGGAAACUGGUGCUAAUACCUGAUAGGAGCUCCUGCUGCAUGGGGGGGUUUGGAAAGUUUAGGCGGAUGGGGAUGUACUCGGGGCUUAUCAGCUUGUUGGUUGGGGAGUGGCUUACCAAGGCUUUGACGGGUAGCCGGCCUGGGAGGGUGACCGGGGUCAUUGGGACUGCGGUACGGACCAGACUCCUACGGGAGGCAGCAGUGGGGAAUCUUGCACAAUGGGCGGAAGCCUGAUGCAGAAACGCCGCGUGCGGGAUGAAGGCCUUCGGGUUGUAAACCGCUUUAAGCUGUGACGAAGCGUGAGUGACGUUAAUGGGUAAAGAAGCACCGGCUAACUACGUG